AGCAGACAAACUGGAAGGAAACCUUGCGCUUGAUGAAAUCACCCAGCCAGCCCCUAACCAAACACAACCGGAGGCCCAUGUUACCAUAGAUCUUGCAAGAUUAUGAACAACUGCCUCCAGCGAUCCCCUCAGCCGGUGAAAUUCACAUGGCGUAAAUUUAACCAUCGGUGAUCUUUAGCACAAUCGUAGCGUUGUAUCACCACUACCUAGCUCAUCACCUAGGCCUGAAAUAUUUUCAUCACCCUAAAAGGAACCUUGCGCCUAUUUGUGUCAUUCUCCAUGCCUCUCUCCUUCGGGCCGCUGGCGAUCAUUAAUUAAUCAGCUUUCCUUUCCUGUGAAUUCACCCAUUCUGGGCACUCCAUACCGACGACGUCCUACAGGAGGCGUGUGACUUCUUUCACUCAGCGUGGUGUUUUCCAGGGUCAUCCACACUUGAUCCACAGAAGCUGGAAAGCUCCUCUGCAGCUCGUUGCCAACUAUGCUGGUGGAUUUCCAGGAAUAUGUUCGUUUUCCUGAUAGAAGGGACAGAUGCGACUGGCUCCAGCCCCUCCCCUACCUCUUCCUGCCUUGAACACUGACACGAUGCCUGGAGCUACAGCAGCCAUGUUGCUGCACCGUGAGCUGAAGGCCAAGGGGAUCACAGAGCACCUGAACCUGGUACCAUUCAACCAGCAACAGCAGCUACCUACUUCCAGAUUCCUUG